rnacentral:rRNA from 1 species
AUUGAACGCUGGCGGCAGGCCUAACACAUGCAAGUCGAACGGUAACAGGAAGCAGCUUGCUGCUUUGCUGACGAGUGGCGGACGGGUGAGUAAUGUCUGGGAAACUGCCUGAUGGAGGGGGAUAACUACUGGAAACGGUAGCUAAUACCGCAUAACGUCGCAAGACCAAAGAGGGGGACCUUCGGGCCUCUUGCCAUCGGAUGUGCCCAGAUGGGAUUAGCUAGUAGGUGGGGUAACGGCUCACCUAGGCGACGAUCCCUAGCUGGUCUGAGAGGAUGACCAGCCACACUGGAAAUGAGACACGGUCCAGACUCCUACGGGAGGCAGCAGUGGGGAAUAUUGCACAAUGGGCGCAAGCCUGAUGCAGCCAUGCCGCGUGUAUGAAGAAGGCCUUCGGGUUGUAAAGUACUUUCAGCGGGGAGGAAGGGAGUAAAGUUAAUACCUUUGCUCAUUGACGUUACCCGCAGAAGAAGCACCGGCUAACUCCGUG